UACGGAGGGUGCGAGCGUUGUCCGGAAUCACUGGGCGUAAAGGGCGCGUAGGCGGCGCGGAUAGUCGGCGGUGAAAGCCCGGAGCUCAACUCCGGGUCGGCCGUCGAUACUUCCGGGCUUGAGCACUGUAGAGGCAGAUGGAAUUCCGGGUGUAGCGGUGGAAUGCGUAGAGAUCCGGGAAGAACACCGGUGGCGAAGGCGGUCUGCUGGGCAGUUGCUGACGCUGAUGCGCGACAGCGUGGGGAGCAAACGAG
rnacentral:rRNA from 1 species